rnacentral:rRNA from 1 species
UACGAAGGGGGCUAGCGUUGUUCGGAAUUACUGGGCGUAAAGCGCAUGUAGGCGGUCCUACAAGCCAGAGGUGAAAUCCCGGAGCUCAACUUCGGAAUUGCCUUUGGAACUGUAGGACUGGAGUAUCGGAGGGGAUGGUGGAAUUCCAAGUGUAGAGGUGAAAUUCGUAGAUAUCUGGAGGAACACCGGUGGCGAAGGCGGCCAUCUGGACGAUUACUGACGCUGAGAUGCGAAAGCGUGGGGAGCAAACAGG